GAGAACUGCACCGUCUCCGCAGGAACCUGGCCGGGGGGCCAGGCGGUGGGGUUUCUCCUGCGGCUUAACGGCGGCUGAGCAGCCUUGCCGGGAGCGCAGCUCGUGACCUGUGACUCCACAUGCACCGGUUCUUCACGCCCUCAGGAAUCCAAAGGUCGGGGGAAGGAAUCUGCGUCGACUGGGCAGUGGGGAGUCCAUUGGUUUUUCAGGUGGAUGAACCCAACCUCAAGGUUGGACCGUGGCUGGCCAGGAGAGAGCAGCGUGGGAAAGGGAAUUCCGUCCAGGCUGCUUGGUCCCCGAGCCCAGGAGGCCCAAUGCCAGAUGGUUCUUCGUCCUCCACCCACAAGUGCUCUCAUGAGGAAAACGGACAAACUUGAAACAAAACCAGUUGUACGCACCUCAUCUCCCACAAGGCCCCACCAGUGGGGGUCUGUGAGUUUGGAAAGAUAUGAAGCUCCUUUCAGA